rnacentral:misc_RNA from 1 species
GCAAGAUACAUUGUUGCAGAGACAGUAGUUGCCCCAUUCUCCCUGCCUGCCAUAACAAGUGCAAUGUCUCUACUAGCAGUUUUCCGAGCUUUGCUACCAAGACGUGCUAGAAUCUCUAGUUCUUCUGUAGUCAAGCCUAUGCAAGGUACGCCAUCCAGAAUAGCGAUAGUGGCAGGUACAGCACCAUUAUCCCUCACAAUGACCUCCAACUCCUUUGCUGUCUCGAAAUUCUGAGGAUACGGCAUUCCAUGAGAUAUGAUAGUGGAUUCCAAAGCAACAAUGGGGGUUCCAUGUUUUAAUGCUUCUGAAACCUCCGGAGAUAUCUUAAUCCACCCCAGAUU